CAGGGGAGGACCCCAGGUUCAGUCCCCGCAUCUCCAGGGGGGUCUGGGAAUGCCCCCCUCUCUGAAACUGGGGAGAAGGGCUGUGAGAUCCUGAGCGAGGUGGACUCCUGGGCUGAGUCAGUGCAAGGCAGCCUCCUGGGUCCUAUUUUUAAGAAGCCCUUGCAUGGCUUCAAAGAUGGCUCCCUUCUUCCUCCACUACCAGAGGCAGUAAAUGCAUUAGCAUCCCACUCGCUCUGUGUCCCUCGUGUCCUCCUUGCAUGCUUCCUUACUGGGACAUCUGGAUGGCCACUGGGAGACCGCCAUGCUGGACUCGAUGGGCCCCUUUGGGGUGAUCCAGCAACCUGGCUAUUCUCCUGCGUCCCUCUAUCUAGUGGCAGGGGGUUCCAGCGUUUAACUGUAUGCCUUGUAAAGAAAUGCUCAGGUUUGCAACUAGAGCUGAAACUCAGGGUUGAAGUCAAAACAGAGAGAGAGAGCGUGUAUGACCACACAGAGAAGGGAAGCAGGUGCUGGGAGGCUGACAAACACGUUUGCUAUCAGCACAGGGUCAGGCCAGAGCCCACCAGCUUGCCACAAUUUCCUUUCUCCAUGUGCUUUUUAAAGGGGCAUUUUAUAUCCCCACAUAUCUCUGCUUCCUUCUCUCGUCAUACUGGCCCCAACAUGAGUUUCUCUCCCCCUGCCUGGGACCCUCUUAAUCCUGCAGGCCCUGGGUGUUGGGGUCAGGGAGGCCCCCUUUGCACAGCCAGCAAGACCCAGCGGCUGCCAAGCCUCUUCUGGAAGGCCCUGAGCCAAGGCUGGGUGCUUGGCCCAGAGAGUGCUUGGCCCACAUCCCACUUCCAGAAGCCUGAACGUUUGAAACCUGAGCUAAGCAUGGGACACAUGCAGAAGCUGCUGCCUUUUCCAAGAAAUCAGGAAAGAGACAAGUAGUGGCCGCUCCUUGCCCAGGUACAAGGAAGCUUUUGGCUUAAGGGGGGGCGGGCUGUGAAGUCGGAAGAAGCAAGAUCUCCUGCGGGGUGAAUGCUGUGAGCCCCUCCAUCGAAGGCUCAUGUGGUCUAUAGGUGCAAAUAUACCCCACACCCUAAAGACACCGCCGUCUCUUCCAUCCCUCAUUCUAAAGAAACCCAACUCUCUGUGUAAAUGCCUGGAUCCCCUGAAAUCUCGCCCCUCUCGGAGACUGGGGUGCUGUGUGACAGUAUAGUCAAGGCAUAUAUGAAGAAAAUAGCCCCCAUAAUCAUUUGCAGAAAGGCGGAGACUGUGGGGCAGCUGGACCAGCGACUAGAGUCAGUGAUGGGCUGGAUGAGGGUCAACAAACUGAACCUCCCUUCUCAAACAAGGCGCAAAUGCUGUUCAGGGAGAUGCCAUUCGCCCCGUCCUAAACAUUGACAAACGUGACAAAUAGCUCAUGUUUUGUUCUGUUGCUGCAGGAUAUCUCUUGGUGGGAUGAUGGCCAUAGAUGUCACCUAAGUACCCUCACUAGUAUAACCAAAGAAGCCCCUGUGAAGAAGGAGGUUGGCUGUUUUGAGGGGGGCUCUCCUAGACCCACUUUGGGGACUAAAUGGGCUCAGUCACCCCAGGGACGUCUUAAGCUUCACUUUUCACCUGCUCCAUCCAGUUUUUCUGGACAGGGAUAGUCUGUCCACAAUGAUCCAUAUUCUGCUCACCUCCUGACAGGAUUAUUGUAACGUGUUGUUUUCCUCAAUACACUAGGGAUGCUUCAGCUGCUACAAGAUAAACCUGAGAGGACUUUCACUGCCACAGCUCAUUUAGGGCCAAAUCUCACCAGGGCCAAAAGACCCUCUGCCUGUUUGUCUGGUUCUGAGUUCAAUUCAAAGUGCUAGUCUUGUUUUAGAAAGUCCUCGGUGGCUUGAGGCUCCUUCUCCUCCCCAUGUCUCCUCUGUGGAGGCUUUUCUCCCUCUCCUUUCCCCUCUUUGUGGAGAUGGAGUGGGCGACAACAACAACUAAUGGCCAGGAGGAAAAUGUUUUCUUCUUCACAGACUUUUAAAAAAGUUUUCAGGACUUUAGGCAUUGCCUGUAGCUUUGUUUUCCUGCUGGAUAGCCUUGUUAUGUGGCUUUAAACCACCCUUGAAGCAAUUUAGGGAGAUGGUGGCAUGUAGAUGAACAAAUAACAGAGCAACUGCUUGACGCAGCCCCUUCCGGAAGGAGAAGGCAGCCAUUUCCCCUCCCUUUUUGCUUCACUGCCAGCCCUCCACAAAAUGGCUUCCGUCCCCGACAAGCAGGCCGGGUGGGGCUGCCUCAGCCUCCCUGCUUCCCUCCCUGCAGAGGAGACCUUUGGUGCAAGGGAGAGCAGCCAAGCAAGGCAGAAACCGAAAGCCACAGAUCAGGUUGCCUGACUGGGAGAUCGGCAGGCAGAAAUGUCACUCUGGGGAAGACAUUUUCUUUCUCCCCACAAUGUCCCUUAGCGCCCAGAUGGGGAGACCUUUGGCAUUUGUCCCUCUUGGCCUGGCCUGGAUCCCCUCCAACCUUGGAAAGACCCGUCUCCUUCAGCAUGCAGGACAAAACCCUGAGCCUCCCCAGCUCUCUUCCUCAAGGCCAAUUGGGCAGGACGCCUGGGUCCCCUUUGGGAGGAGACUCGGCAGGAGCCAGGACUCCUGGGUCCCGUUUCUGGCAGGCAAAAGCCAUCUUCCUCUCUAACUGACUCUGCCUUCAAAAAAUGAAUAUUUACAUCCAGGUGGCACUCCUCAUAAUGGCCCUGACAGGCCCAAGGUCCCUGAGGGAGCUUCAUAUCUGCAUGGGGAUUUGAACCCAGGGCUCCCAGGCUCCCAUAUCCCAGUGAAACGACAGCCCCACACUGGAUCCUUGUAGGCUUCUCCACCUCUCAAGACCUGGCCUGCAGGGACAUCUCUCCUGACAUUGUUUUUGUCCCGUUCUUGGUAUCGUGUGGAAACAGCAACGAGUCUUCUUGCCCCUUAAAGGCUAAGAAAUAGAUGGCAUAAGAAACAUCCUUGGUGUGGUUCUCUGUUCCAAACUGGAUUGUUUCCCAGGGGACUUUGCCCCUUUCUGUCUCCCUCAGCAACCUCCGAGUCAGGCUGGAAAGUCCCAGGGCAGUUCCCAGAACAAGGCCUUUUUAUUUUUAAUGUUUGUUUUCAUUUUUACUUGUAAGAUGAAUAGCUGAGUGUGCAGUAAACAGUCCUUGGCGAGUUACAAUAAUCUAAAUUUCGUUUCCAUCCUUCAUUAACACUGGUGUUUGUGUGUGUUUGUGUUUCCUGCCCUCACGCUCUCUCUCUGCCACAAGACACCCUCGCCCAUUUCUCCACAGUCCCUAGUUGUAUUUUCUCAUUUUCCCCUUUUUGCGAUCCUCCGCUGCCCCCUGCCGGCUGCUUUCUUCCCUGGCUGAAGUGGAAAUCAGGUGAUUUCUAGGAAAUCCUUCAAGGGACCAGUUGAAGCAAGUCACGGGUUGCAAAAAAAUGGUCAAGGUUCCCACAUAUGUCACAGCUUUGGAAUCGGUGCAAGUGGGUGUAUGCCUACCUAUGGUAUGGGAAAGUGGAAAUAUAUAAAACUUUUACAAAUCACGUAAUUAGAAAAAAACCUGUUUAGAGUAUGGGGAAAAUAUAAAAACUUAUUAGAAAGAAAAACACCACUGCAGAUAUCCCCAGUGGAAGCUACAACCAGGAAAAGAAUAAAUAUGGAUAAGCAGUGGUUAACUUACAGUGAAAUUUAAUCUCUUACAGAACAGGAACCAAAACUGAGAAAUCCCGAGGAAUCAAGAAAUCCGGUUACGGAUUGGCUACAGGUUGUUAGGGAAAUUCUGGGAGAGAGGAUACUCGACAGUCCCAGCUGGUCGGGCAGAGCCCGUGGUUUCUCUCGGUCAGCAAAGGAAGGGGUCCCAGCCACAAACCGGAGCAAAACACCAUCAGUAGACAUAGAUCAAAGUUUAUUGCGAAACAGGUUCAAACAAUGGAAUGAACCCCGAGAAAGGGGCGACACUGACUUUUAAAACUUCCCACCACAUCCCAGAAUCCAGUUCGUACAGCAUCAUCACUACAUCAUUGCGACAUCACCAAAACGUCAAGAAAAAGGGAGGGUAACAUGGGAUUAACAUAAGGAAACUGAGUCAAGGUUUGCAUAAGCAAACAUAUCUCAAGUACCCACCACCCACAGAACAAUAGUCUUUCUUCGCAUGUCUGUACCCUAAGGCGAGUCCGGUGAUGGGCUUUGGAAACUGCCCAGCAAUUGUCACUCAUGGGCACUUCCUUGGGUGGGGAGUGCUUACUGUUCAGGGAAGUUUUUAAUGUGUGACAUCUUAGUGUAUUUUUGGUCUUUGUUGGAAGCCGCCCAGAGUGGCUGGGGAAACCCAACCAGAUGGGCAGGGUACAAAUAAAAUAAAAUAUUAUUAUUAUUAUUAUUAUUAUUAUUAGUGACUCCUCCCUUGUGGGAUCACGGCGGGACCGAGGGGUUUUAAAGUCCUAGGCCAAAAGAGUGCAAAUGGCGUUGCAGUGAAGCAAACCGGUGGCACUAGUGAUUUUAUAUGAAUUUCUAAAGUUUUGAGGCUUUUCCUAAAGCUGAUAGUCUGGCGGAAACACUUUUGUUUUUGCUUGCAGCAUUGUAGCAGGUUUAGAUAGAGUUAACAAGGUAAGGAGGUUUCGAUAGACUGAGUCCAUUGUUCUGGCAGCGGGGCUCCACUCAGCUGCUUAAUGAGGGUGGAAACAGCUGGAGCAGAGCUGCCUUGCAAGGCAGGGAAGGCAAACAUGGCAAAGGGCGAAGCUUGAGAGCGUAGCUUAAACUCAAUUGGCUAACCGUCAAAUUCCAAUGCUCCUGAUUGGUUAAGGUGCAUCAGCAUGCAAAUACACAGUUCAGUCAUAAGGUAUACCAACUUAGGGUGUAGGGUAACAGAAAGGAAAGACAAGACUUUAUUGAGGGAAUUUAUCUGCUGUUUGGUGCAACUUAGUGAAGGGACGAGGUCUUCUUGAGCUUAUCCUCUCAUGCCCUCAGUACCUGUGGCGGGGGAGACAGAAGUCUCUCCCCCCCACCCCCGUCUCUAUUGUGUAACAAGCUACAUCAGAUUGAUGAACUGUUUAAGAUAGAUAGGGAAAACGGCUUUGCUGAGCAAAAGUCUCAGUUUACCAAAGACUUAUUAGAUACAAAUAUAAAAGUAUUAUCAAAAAUGUACAAACUGCUCUUGGAGUGGGAAAUUAAGAGGAAUUGGUGAAAUCAAGCAUGAUUAAGUGGGCACAAGAUGUGGAUCACAAUAUUGAUCAUGAAUUAUGGGGAAAGUUGUGGAAAAGUAAAUAUGAAUUUUACGGCAUGUUAUGCGAGAUAAAAGAAAAUAUGAUGAAAAUGGCCCACAGAUGGCAUAUAACACCCACCAGAUUGGUGAGAAUGUCUAAAAAAAGAAAAAAGUCUAUGUUGGAAGUGUAAUAAAAUUGAGGGAUCUUUUAUUCACAUGUGGUCUUGUAAAAUAAUUAAGGAAUAAUGGGAAUUUAAUGAAAUAAAAAAGAUACUUAAAAAAACUUUUCCCAAAACACCUGAGUUUUUCCUCUGGGGGUGGUAACAAUGGAGGGCCCCCCAAAAGCAAGAGAGUUUAUUAAUAGACGCCACCGCCAGUUUACUGGCACAAAAG